GAGACUUCUUGAGUUUAGAUUCUGUUGAUGAUGUCCCACGGCCAUAGAGAGGAACCAGCGAUGAGCUUGAGAUGUGAGCCUUACAGACUGGGCAUUUACAUUUCUCCUCUGAUCCUGGAGUAGAGCUCCCGACCUGGAGCCACUUGUAAAUGCAAGGCCAGCAGUAGAGGUGACCGCAAAGGGUGACUACAGGGUCAUGUGCUGAGUCGAGAACAUUUACAUUUCUCGUCUGAUCCUGGAGUAGAGCUCUCGACCUGGAGCCACUUGUGAAUGCAAGGCCAGCAGUAGAGGUGACCGCAAAGGGUGACUACAGGGUCAUGUGCUGAGUCGAGACAGAUAUUGCAAUCAUAACCACCAGUUGUACUAUCAGAAGUUGCUGUUGGAACAGG
rnacentral:lncRNA from 1 species